rnacentral:rRNA from 1 species
CAUUAUGCCUGGAAAUGGUUUAUGUUCCAAAUGAUUUAUCGCCGUAGGAUGGGACUGCGGCCUAUCAGUUUGUUGGUGAGGUAAUGGCCCACCAAGACUAUUACAGGUACGGGCUCUGAGAGGAGUAGCCCGGAGAUGGGUACUGAGACACGAAUCCAGACCCUACGGGGUGCAGCAGGCGCGAAAACUUGGCAAUGCGAGAAAUCGUGACCAGGGAACUCCAAGUGCAUCAGGUAAGACCGAUGCUUUUCUUGACUCUUCAACGGUCUUGGAAUAAGGGGUGGGUAAGGACGGUGCCAGCCGCCGCGGUAAUACCGGCGCCUCAAGUGGUAGUCGCUUUUAUUGGGCCUAAAACGUCCGUAGCCGGUUUGGUACAUUCGUGGGUAAAUCAAGGCGCUCAACGUCUUGAAUUCUGCGAGCACGGCCAGACUUGGGACCGGGUGAGGUGUGGGGUACUCUCAGGGUAGGGGUAAAAUCCUGUCAUCCUGAGAGGACCACCUGUUGCGAAGGCGCCACACUAGAACGGAUCCGACGGUCAGGGACGAAGCCUAGGGGCACGAACCGGAUUAGAUACCCGGGUAGUCCUAGGUGUAAACGCUGUGGACUUGAUGUUGGGAGUGCUCCGAGCACCCUCAGUGUCGAAGCGAAGGUGAUAAGUCCACUGCCUGGGGAGUACGGUCGCAAGGCUGAAACUUAAAGGAAUUGGCGGGGGAGCACUGCAACCUGAGGAUUGUGCGGUUUAAUUGG